AGAGUUUGAUCCUGGCUCAGAACGAACGCUGGCGGCGUGCCUAACACAUGCAAGUCGAGCGGGAAAGUUUCCUUCGGGAAGCGAGUACAGCGGCGAGCGGGUGAGUAACACGUAGGUAACCUACCCUGGAGCCUGGGAUAACCUGUCGAAAGACGGGCUAAUACCAGAUAAGACCACGGGACCUUCGGUUCCUGAGGUAAAAGGUGGCCUCUGCUUGCAAGCUACCACUCCGAGAUGGGCCUGCGCACCAUUAGCUAGUUGGUGAGGUAAAGGCUCACCAAGGCUGAGAUGGUUAGCUGGUCUGAGAGGAUGAUCAGCCACACUGGGACUGAGACACGGCCCAGACUCCUACGGGAGGCAGCAGUGGGGAAUAUUGCGCAAUGGGCGAAAGCCUGACGCAGCGACGCCGCGUGGGUGAUGAAGGCCUUCGGGUCGUAAAGCCCUGUCAGGAGGGACGAAACCUCGGCAGGUUAAUAUCCUGCCGACUGACGGUACCUCCAAAGAAAGACCCGACCCCGCU
rnacentral:rRNA from 1 species